rfam:Lentisphaerae bacterium GWF2_38_69 gwf2_scaffold_1848, whole genome shotgun sequence.
GAGGGAACCGACCCCUCGAUAUCGGUAUUCAGGUACUGGUAUCAAACCACUUCAAGCUGCUGUUGUAAAGAGCAAUGGUAGUGAGCGUUGAUGAAAGCUGGAACAUAAUCCAGCAAGG